AUAGAAAAGGGGCUUCCUUUACAAACCCCCAGGGGCAGUCUCAAUGCCCCUCCAGAUGGUGAAAUGAGCUGUAGCAGAAACCUCGGAAACAGCAAGAUGGAAUGGCAGAGUCAAGCAGACCCGGGGUGACAAAGUGUAGCAGAGACUCCAGGGCCAUGCCAGAAGCUGCAGGGUGUUUACAUGUCAGGUUAAAAUGUGGCAAGAAGCCCUGAAACAGUGGCAGAGAACAGCAGGGCUGGGCAGAGAAUCACUCCCCUGGGUAGCUCACUGGCAAUGGCUGGUCCUGGGGUCAGGCUGUGCAGAGGGGGCAGCCCUGUUAGGGGAUGGGGUGCUCCUGGGUCCCAGCAUGGCACGCACUGGCUCUGGGCUCCCAAGCAGCAGAGAAGCAGGCCAGUAACAUCCAGUUACAGUGCCAAAGGAAAUGAAAAAAACCUGGGCAAAAACCACAUGGCAACAGUAUCUCAUCAGAGGGAUUGUACCGUGUGGCCACUGGGACAAAUUGCCCCACUUGAAGGAAACAACCCCCUUCACCCCCAACUCUGGCAGGAAUCCCAGACUCUCAUGCAUCACAAUACUCAGGGAGCUGGGGGGGGGGGGAGCAGCAACCACCCUGGACACAAAACAAAAAACAAAAACAAACCCCAAAAUGGCUAUGUGUGGAUGUGACAGCCUGGUCAGAGUGAGAAAACUAGGUAAGUUUUCCCAGAAUCGGCCUGAGAGACUUUAGGGAAUUGAAGAUAAACAACGAUAGCUUAUUAUUAUAAACAACCUGCAGGUGUUUUCCUACUCUCAGUUUUCCUGUUUUUCUCAAAGAUUGUUUAUAAGAAGGGCAUCUUGUUAAUUAGCCAAUCAGGUGAAAUGUAUUAACUGAAUGACCAAUCAAAUCUACCUAGAUCGGAACAGCUUAUAAAAGGAGCAGUUCUAAAUAUAUGGUGCGCACAUUAUGCCAAUCAGCCUUCUGAUGAGUCUGUGUCAUUUCUUAACUCAAUAGCGACAUCUGGUGACCCCAACAUGAUUUGCAUCAGUCAGCCCUUUGUGGAUCUCAGGACGGAUGAAGGGACACCUCGAACCCCCACCAGAACUCCACUGGGACCCUGUGGUGCCUGUGCAGCCUGUUCGCGUCUGGACACCCUCUGCUCCCCCGGAGAGGAGUGGAGCCCUGCAGCACUGGAAUGGAAUCCCACCAGCCUGAGCCCUGCACAUGAAAUACUAAGCACCAGGAAUGCCCCUGGUUGGGUGGGGGACAUCAGCCAGCCCCAGCCUGCCUAAGCUGCUCCAAGUAACAACCAUGAAGAGAGCAAAACAUUCAAUUUAAUGGAAACAAGUCUUUAUUAAGUAACUUUUAAUAUCAUAAAAAUAAAACUCUUAUAAUUCUCUUUACAACAAAUAUAUAAUAUCAGUGCUUUGGCCAUCAUAAUUUAAAGGCCCUUUAUCAUAAAAUAUAUAGUUUUUAAACUUGACCAAAAUUGAAUUUAUAAUCCCUAUGACCUCCCUACAUAUACAUAACAAAGAGUGUAGUAAAAUCAGCAGCAAAUACUAAGCUAGAUCAAUAGUUUAUCAGUUUAUUCUUAGUUUGUGGUUUAUAGAAGUGGUACACGCACCUUAUGUCUAUUGAUUCCUUGGCUUAUUAGUUGCAGUGUACAAUGCAAUAAAACAAAAUACACGCUCAGUGAACAUUUUUUUGCAUCUACAAGACUGUAGUUAGAGAUCAGAUUUUAAUACUGACAUGUAACUAUCCUACAAGCAAUUAUAGUAAAAGUUAUGCAGUACAUAAUAUGCCUUCAAGGCAACUCCUAGUUGUAAACUUUUAUACCAAAUGUAACUCUUCAAGUGGAAAUAAAAAUAAAAUUUUCUGCAUAUUUACUAGUUUAAUACACAAUUUCUUUUUUUUUUUUUGUUACACUGAGAAAAAGAUUAUCUUGGGAAAAUAAUGCUUUAAAAAAGAGGAAAAAAUACAUCAUAACUCUACUUUUGUGUCUUUUUUUUGUUUGUUUUUGCUGUUUUAAUAUAUGUCAGCACAGAUUUGGGAAUGUACUGAGGAUGAAAAAGCUAGAAACAUCCACAGGUUGAAAUGUAAGAAGCUCAAGAAGCUCAUUCAAGAGAGACUUUUUUUUUGGAAAGACAGUUUUGAAAUGAAGUAAACUGAUUACAAGGCCACUGUCACAGCUGCUGUCAUGAAUAAUACAAGGGCAUUUACACAACUCCCCCUUUUUCCUUUUUCUUACUAAAAAUAUAUAUUUAUGUGUAAGACAUGAAUUUAACAUAAAAAUGCUUCACAUUUUGAACUAUAUAUUCUCUAAAAAAGGUCAAGAACA